AUUGAACGCUGGCGGCAGGCCUAACACAUGCAAGUCGAGCGCGCGGAGGACGGGUGAGUAUAGUCUGGGAAACUGCCUGAUGGAGGGGGAUAACUACUGGAAACAGUAGCGAUAAUAGCAUACCAUCUGAUGUGCCCAGAGGGGAUUAGCUAGUAGUGGGGGUAAGGGCUCACCUAGGCGACGAUCCCUAGCUGGUCUGAGAGGAUGACCAGCCACACUGGAACGGAGCAACGGUCCAGACUCCUACGGGAGGCAGCAGUGGGGAAUAUUGCACAAUGGGCGCAAGCCUGAUGCAGCCAUGCCGCGUGUAUGAAGAAGGCCUUCGGGUUGUAAAGCACUUUCAGCGGGGAGGCGUUACCCGCAGAAGAAGCACCGGCUAACUCCGUGCCAGCAGCCGCGGUAAUUC
rnacentral:rRNA from 1 species